rnacentral:rRNA from 1 species
GGAGUUGCUUCGGUAACUGACCUAGCGGCGGACGGGUGAGUAAUACUUAGGAAUCUGCCUAUUAAUGGGGGACAACAUCUCGAAAGGGAUGCUAAUACCGCAUACGCCCUACGGGGGAAAGCAGGGGAUCACUUGUGACCUUGCGUUAAUAGAUGAGCCUAAGUCGGAUUAGCUAGUUGGUGGGGUAAAGGCCUACCAAGGCGACGAUCUGUAGCGGGUCUGAGAGGAUGAUCCGCCACACUGGGACUGAGACACGGCCCAGACUCCUACGGGAGGCAGCAGUGGGGAAUAUUGGACAAUGGGGGGAACCCUGAUCCAGCCAUGCCGCGUGUGUGAAGAAGGCCUUAUGGUUGUAAAGCACUUUAAGCGAGGAGGAGGCUCUCUUGGUUAAUACCCAAGAUGAGUGGACGUUACUCGCAGAAUAAGCACCGGCUAACUCUGUGCCAGCAGCCGCGGUAAUACAGAGGGUGCGAGCGUUAAUCGGAUUUACUGGGCGUAAAGCGUGCGUAGGCGGCUUUUUAAGUCGGAUGUGAAAUCCCCGAGCUUAACUUGGGAAUUGCAUUCGAUACUGGGAAGCUAGAGUAUGGGAGAGGAUGGUAGAAUUCCAGGUGUAGCGGUGAAAUGCGUANAGAUCUGGAGGAAUACCGAUGGCGANNNAGCCAUCUGGCCUAAUACUGACGCUGANNNACGAAAGCAUGGGGNGCAAACAGG